rnacentral:rRNA from 1 species
GUCAAAUCAUCAUGCCCCUUAUGACCAGGGCUACACACGUGCUACAAUGGCGUAAACAAAGGGAAGCGACCCCGCGAGGGUGAGCAAAUCUCAAAAAAUAACGUCUCAGUUCGGAUUGUAGGCUGCAACUCGCCUACAUGAGGCUGGAAUCGCUAGUAAUCGCGAAUCAGAAUGUCGCGGUGAAUACGUUCCCGGGUCUU